rnacentral:sRNA from 1 species
GUCAGAAAUUAUGCCUUCUCUGUAUGGGGAGAAAUUACUAGAGUGAAAUUUUUGGCAAUUUUCCCUGCCAUUUAUUUUGUGGUUAAAGUGCAAUGUUAGAGCAAAGACAACGAGGAACGACGACGGAGCAACAACGAAGAAUGCAGAAGCAGCGGAAGCAGCAGCACUACGUAGCGAACGCAACACAACAAUAAUUAAAAGUGCAACAAUUACAACAACCAAAACAACAACAACAACCAACAUGUGAAUUGCGUUUUUUUUUUACCAAAACCAAAACAAAACCACGAAGAACAAGUGUAGCCAGAGCCUGAGAGAGAGGGAGAGUGAAAGAAGGAGAAAGCGAAAAGCGAAGAGCGCCAUAAGAAAGAGACAAAGAAAGAAAAAGCCGCCAAAAUAUUAUAGCAACAGCAACAAAAACAUAAACAACAACAACUAGCAACAAACCAACAGCAAAUAACAACAACAAAUGUAAUAUAAAUAACGGUUCAAGCAAAACCAAAAAACAAUUUCGCGCGCGCUCUUUUUCCUUCUACCCUUUGUUUCUCUCAAAGACGGACGAGGACGAACACUGACAACACACACAAACAAAAAAUACAAAAAAAAAAACAACAAAACCGCUGCUUCUACGAAUUAUAUUUUGUUCGUCAAACAUCUUUUUUGAAAACUUCAAUCGUCAUUUAAUCAUCGUCAUAAUAACCACUCCAAUAAAACUCCACUCCCCCCGCAAUAUUCCGGAAACAGCAAACAAACAAAACAACAACAAUUUGAAAAGUGGCUAGAACAAAAACA